ACCGGGAGAUAGCUGGUUCUCCCCGAAAGCUAUUUAGGUAGCGCCUCGUGAAUUCAUCUCCGGGGGUAGAGCACUGUUUCGGCAAGGGGGUCAUCCCGACUUACCAACCCGAUGCAAACUGCGAAUACCGGAGAAUGUUAUCACGGGAGACACACGGCGGGUGCUAACGUCCGUCGUGAAGAGGGAAACAACCCAGACCGCCAGCUAAGGUCCCAAAGUCAUGGUUAAGUGGGAAACGAUGUGGGAAGGCCCAGACAGCCAGGAUGUUGGCUUAGAAGCAGCCAUCAUUUAAAGAAAGCGUAAUAGCUCACUGGUCGAGUCGGCCUGCGCGGAAGAUGUAACGGGGCUAAACCAUG
rnacentral:rRNA from 1 species